UCCCUCAUGGUCCAGUGGCAAAGACACUGCAGUCCAAAUGUAGGAAGUCUGGGUUCAAACCCUGCUCAGGGAA
rnacentral:tRNA from 1 species